CCUACGGGUGGCAGCAGUGAGGAAUAUUGGUCAAUGGCCGGAAGGCUGAACCAGCCAUGCCGCGUGAAGGUCAGUGCCCUAUGGGCGUUAAACUUCUUUUGUGCGGGAGCAAUAAUGGUCACGUGUGGCCAGACGAGAGUACCGUACGAAUAAGCAUCGGCUAACUCCGUGCCAGCAGCCGCGGUAAUACGGGGGAUGCAAGCGUUAUCCGGAUUUAGUGGGUGUAAAGGGAGCGCAGGCGGCACGGCAAGCCUGAUGUGAAAGCCCGCGGCGCAACGGCGGGACUGCAUUGGGAACUGCCGGGCUGGAGUGCGGGAGAGGAGGGCGGAAUUCCAGGUGUAGCGGUGAAAUGCGUAGAUAUUAGGAGGAACACCAGUGGCGAAGGCGGCCAACUGGACGGUGACUGACGCUGAGGCUCGAAAGCGUGGGGAGCAAACAGGAUUAGAUACCCCAGUAGUC
rnacentral:rRNA from 1 species